rnacentral:rRNA from 1 species
UACGUAGGGUCCGAGCGUUGUCCGGAAUUACUGGGCGUAAAGAGCUCGUAGGUGGUUUGUCGCGUUGUUCGUGAAAACUCACAGCUCAACUGGGGAGGGUCACGCGAUACUGCUCGACUUGAAGGCAGGAGAGGGAAGUGGAAUUCCCGGUGUAGUGGUGAAAUGCGUAGAUAUCGGGAGGAACACCAGUGGCGAAGGCGACUUCCUGGCCUGUUCUUGACGCUGAGGCGCGAAAGCUAGGGUAGCAAACGGG